UCUUGGAUAGCUCAGCAGGUAGAGCAAUCGGCUGUUAACCGAUCGGUCGCAGGUUCGAACCCUGUUCCAAGAG
rnacentral:tRNA from 1 species